AUUGAACGCUGGCGGCAGGCCUAACACAUGCAAGUCGAGCGAGCGGCGGACGGGUGAGUAAUGUCUGGGUAACUGCCUGAUGGAGGGGGAUAACUACUGGAAACGGUAGCUAAUAACGCAUACUAUCAGAUGUGCCCAGAUGGGAUUAGCUAUUAGGUGGGGUAACGGCUCACCUAGGCGACGAUCCCUAGCUGGUCUGAGAGGAUGACCAGCAACACUGGACCGGAGACACGGUCCAGACUCCUACGGGAGGAAGCAGUGGGGAAUAUUGCACAAUGGGCGCAAGCCUGAUGCAGACAUGCCGCGUGUAUGAAGAAGGCCUUCGGGUUGUAAAGUACUUUCAGCGGGGAGGCGUUACCCGCAGAAGAAGCACCGGCUAACUCCGUGCCAGCAGCCGCGGUAAUUC
rnacentral:rRNA from 1 species